UACGUAGGUCGCGAGCGUUAUCCGGAUUUAUUGGGCGUAAAGCGAGCGCAGGCGGUUUGAUAAGUUUGAAGUGAAAGGGUGUGGCUUAACCAUAGUAUGCUUUGGAAACUGUUUAACUUGAGUGCAGGAGGGGAGAGUGGAAUUCCAUGUGUAGCGGUGAAAUGCGUAGAUAUAUGGAGGAACACCGGUGGCGAAAGCGGCUCCCUGGUCUGUAACUGACGCUGAGGCUCGAAAGCGUGGGGAGCAAACAGG
rnacentral:rRNA from 1 species